CUACGGGUGGCAGCAGUGGGGAAUAUUGGACAAUGGGGGAAACCCUGAUCCAGCAAUGCCGCGUGUGUGAAGAAGGCCUGCGGGUUGUAAAGCACUUUCGGUUGGGAGGACUGCUUCUAGCACUAAUAUUGUUGGAAGUUGACGUUACCUUCAGAAGAAGCACCGGCUAACUCCGUGCCAGCAGCCGCGGUAAUACGGAGGGUGCAAGCGUUAAUCGGAAUUACUGGGCGUAAGCGCGCGUAGGCGGCUAGAUCAGUCGGGUGUGAAGCCCCGGGCUUAACCUGGGAACUGCAUCCGAUACUGUCUAGCUUGAGUACAGGAGAGGAGAGUGGAAUUCCACAUGUAGCGGUGAAAUGCGUAGAUAUGUGGAGGAACACCAAUGGCGAAGGCAGCUCUCUGGCCUGAUACUGACGCUGAGGCGCGAAAGCGUGGGGAGCAAACAGGAUUAGAUACCCCAGUAGUC
rnacentral:rRNA from 1 species